CUUUGUUUUUUUUUUUUGUUUUUUUUUUUUUUAAAGAUUUAUUUAUUUAUUAUAUAUAAGUACACUGUAGCUGUCUUCAGAUACACCAGAAGAGGGCAUCGGAUCUCUUUACAGAUGGUUGUGAGCCACCAUGUGGUUGCUGGGAAUUGAACUCAUGACCUCUGGAAGAGCAGUCGGGUGCUCUUAACCACUGAGCCAUCUCUCCAGCCCGCCUUGCUUUGUUUUUAACUGAUUAAAAUGAUAAAAUAUUGGGAGGCAAAUCUCUGACUCCAAGGUGAGCCUGAUCUAUAUAGUGAGUUCCUAGAAAGCCAGAGCUCCGCAGGGAAACCCUGCGCAGGGUGGGAAAGGAAGGUAUAAACUCACUGCACAGGCAUCAAAGCAGCCCUCUCCCAAGUGACAAGACUCAAGCAAGUGGCUUAAACCAACCAUUCUUUUUGAAAUAUGGCUCUGUUGCCAAUUUAGAAAAGACAAAACAAGUUUGGCCUAAAGAUUCCAGAAAGACUCGAAGAAAGAAGUUGGCAGACCAGUUCUCAGGUGGAUUUGGACCUACAAGAUCCUGUACUCAGCAACAACAAACUAUGUACAAUGAUUUAACACGGACUCUCCUCCGUCACUUAGGGUGUUCAAAGCCAGCCUGAGAUAGAGACACCCCCUGGGGGGGACUGGCUUUUGCAUUCAUCUCCCAGCCUGACGCUGUAAGCAAUCAUUCUGCGAAUGUCUAUCAGAAUCUCUGUAUGUGCUGGGUAUUUGACUAGGAACUACAUGGACAUGGGGGAGGGGCUUCCACCUCUCACCAGGGAGCUACACUCAACAGAGCAUCUGAUGAUAUGGUCCUUAACGGAAUUCCAGCCCAGCUUGCCACAGGGUGAUUAGUAUGCUGUUUUGCUACAGUGUUAGGGUAUUGGGCAAAUUAGGUGUUACAAAGUGUUUUCUGUUGAUGUAUUUUCAACCUAACAGCAGGUCUGUGGAGACAGGACUUUACAGUUAACUGUACAUAAUGUCAGGGAGCUUAAGGGUGACUGGAUGCUCAGAAGUGAGGUGCAAGGUAACCUUAGACCAAAACCUUUAACAAGAGUGUUUUAUACAUUUUUUAUUAGAAUGUGUGAGUUUUACAACACCAUAAAACCAAGACCACGAGUUGUUUUCUGCAUUGGUCAAUAGUUCCCAUGGAAACCAUGAUUUUUGCCCACUAGGACAUUUACUGGGUUUAUGUCUCAUAGUGUUUGUGCCUCAUUGUUUGCCCCAACCCCCAUUAACUAUAAAAAUCCCUAGGUUCUCAUGUCCUUUGGUGAACAUUUUCCUGUCUAGUCCUUCAUUGGUAAAAUAAGAGUUUGAUAUAUGUUAUCUCUCAUUUAUUUUUAAAGGCAGCCUCAUCUAGCUCAAGCUGACCUCGAACUCACUAGAUAGCUGAAGAUGACCUUAAAGUUAUAAUCCCCCUGCCUCCAUCUCCUGAGUGCUAGGAUUAUAGACCCACCAGCACAUCCAGUUUAUGUGGUGCUAGGGAUAGAAGCCAGGGCUUUUUGGAUUCGAGGCAACAGAACUGCAGUCCUCGACUUGUUCUUGAUCCCACCUUCCCAAUCACCAGGAAAAGACUCUUGGAGAGGAGACUCCUCCCACUAUGAUCCAAGGCUGGAGAACAACUGUAUUCCUGCUGGCGCCUGGAACAAUUCUUACCACGAGGUGGCAUCCUAACUUCAAGAAUCAGCAAUGGGGUGCAUGAGACCGGCAUCUGGAGGUUUCGACCUUGACAACCACUCGGAAGGGAGUCCCCAAGGACUCUUGAGAGAUCUUCAGGGGCACGAUCAUAUCGUACAGUUGUGGGACACUAGUUCUGUGUACCUUAGCACUCAGCUACUCCUGUAUCCAAGCAUUUACCGACCGUUGGUCUCAGUUAUCUGAGUAUUAUAACUCAUUACCCAUUUUCUUUCUGGCAGUGCUGGGCAUGGCACCCAUGGCUUUAUACAGAUUAAGCAAUGCACUAGCUCUAAGCUACAUCCCCACACUCUAUACCCAUUUAAGAUGCCCAUAAGCCAAGGCUCGUAGACCUGCAUGGGCUAACCAAGGUCAUCUGGGCCCAGAAAUAGCAAGUAAGUAGUCUAAACCUAGGUCUGUGGUCUGGAAAGCCAAAGUGCAGUGUUUUCCUCAUUCUGGCUGCCUUGGAAAGAGGCAAGAGGUCGGAGCCAAGCAGGCAGGAGAUCUGGCCAUGCCAUUGUCCUAGAAUAAGUAGAAGGGCUAGUCCUGCCAAGGAAAAGAUGUGGUUGGUCCCAGCCUUUUUCUUACUUCCUUGGGAUUCAGGUGACAAAUAAAUGCUGAAAGGUAAGAGCCUUUGCGUGGGUCUCUCCACUCUCAUGGGUCGUCCCCCUAUACAGCCCACAGUCCAUGAAGGCAGUGGAAACGGAAACAACGGGGGAGAGGGGGAUUUGGAAGCCCUGUGAGUUCUUACAAUGAAUGACCACACCAGGGCCAGCUAUCAGCAGGCAGAUCAACUUUACUUAGGGUGAUUCAAGGCUUAUAAGGUUUUGGGGGACUGAAGGUAGGAACAUCCAAGAUGGGCAAAAGUCACUGGGUGGGGACUUAGAGCACCAAAAUGCCUCAUUAGCAUGGAGAAGCAUUUUGGGCUUCUCAAGUACUGGCUGAACAGGCUCUUACCAGGAGAACUGAAACUGCUUCUGUGAUCUAAUUGAGGCUAUGUAACACUCCUCAGGUAGAAGCAUAUGUGGGGGCUUAGAACUUCCCAAACAUGGUCAGAGAAGGAGGAACCCCACUAAUGAAGAGAGUCCCCUGUUAUGCGCCAAGCCUCUCUGGUCAAUGGUAGACUUCAGCCUUAAUUAGCAGAGUUUCCCCACACGUUUGUUUAGAGCUGCAGUGUCUUGAACCAGGUCUCACAAGCAGAUGGUAACCUGGACAAGACUCUGCAAUUGGUGGCUUGGAUGCGAGGGCAAAAGACAAAAUGAGCUCUCCCCUCAUGUCCCUUUCCUCUGGGGUUUCCUGAGAGGCGAAAGUGCUCAGUAACUACAGCUUGGUUCCUGGCAUCCAAACUCAAGCCCAGCCCAACACACAUCCCUCUGCUGUCAGCACCCUGGCCUCCAGGACUUCCUUGUCAAGGUUGCAUUUGGUAAUGUACCACAGUACCUAGCAUGUGAGCUGCAGCAGAAGGACUUAAAGACAUGGUAGCUUACACCACCACCAUCACUAUCCUAAUCACCACUGUCACCAACACAACCAUCAUCGUGACAAUCAUUGGCAUUACCAUAACAACAAUCACCACACACCACACAACCACCAUCAGCAGCAUUAUGUUGGUUUGAAUGAGAAUAGACCCAUAUAGGCUCUUACAUUUGAAUGCUUGGUCCCCAGCUGUUGGACUAUUCAGGAAGGACUGGGAGAUAUGGUCUUAUUGGAGGAAAUGUGUCACUGGGGACAAGCUUUGAGGUCUCAAAAUCCCAUGCCAGCAUCCCCUCUCCCAUCCUCUCCCUCUCUCCCUUUCUCUCUUCCCCUCAACUGCCCUCUCUACCUUGUGCUUGUGUAUCAGAUGUGAGCUAGUGCCCCAGCACCAUACCUGCCUGCCUGCCGCCAUGCUCCCCACCAUGAUGGUCAUGGACUCACCCUCUGGAUCUGUGAUUCCUUCAAUUAAAUGCUUUAUUUUAUACGUUGCCUUGGUCAUGGUGUUUUGCCACACAAUAGACAAGAACCUAAGAAUCAUCAUCAUCACCUGCUUCAUUUCUAUUAACUGCCUAUUCUGGGUGGUGGAAAUUCCCCAGGUAGGUGCCUCACUCAGAAGUUAAUGAUGGUAAAACGAGCUCACUUACCUAACUGCUUUGCCUGAGCGUUCUUGAUUGAUGAGGUGGGUUAUUUUGGGGACAGAAAAAAACCUGCCAAGUUCUUAAGAGCAUUAUCACUGAAAGGUUUCUAUGACAACACACACCUAAAUGUUCCAGGGGAAGGGCAAACACUCAGGGAGGAGUUAGAAGAAUCACAAGAUGGGAAUCCUCCCACUCCUCUGUUUCUGGCUGUGCUCACCCAGCCCAGCUGUUCCAUCCCUAGGUAAGAUGCUUCAUUCAGAACUCUUUAAAUCCCUGAUACAGCUCUAUGGAGCAGUGCUAUGGUUCUGAUUCCCAUCCUACAGAUGAAAAAACUGAGGCUCAGAGAGGUUAAAGCUUCAUCAAGAGGAUUAGUCCAUGACCACAUAGUGGGGAACUUAGCAGCAGGGAGACAGACAUGGUGCUGGAAAAGGAGCUGAGAGCUUCAUCCUGAACCGCAGUUGAGGAUGUACCCUCUCAACCUUCUGCUGCAGCUGCCAUGCCAGCCUCUCACUGCCUUGCUUCCUUGGCAUGAUGGACUUCUGUCCCUUUGAAACCCUAAGCUGAAAUAAAUCCUUUCUUCUAUAA